UUAUUCAAAAGCUUUUCUCUCUCUUCAUACCAAACUCAAACGAAAGGGCUCUGUACAGAGUGCCUCCUUUCACGAACCCUAAAUUUCUUCUCUCUUGGAGAAGACGAUCGGAGGCGGCGGCUCACGGCGGAGCCUCCGCUCUUCUCUGUCGCUUCACUCUCUCUCUUCCCUAACUCUGUUUCAUGAACCACUUCCCUCUUUCUCCUUCUCAUAAUUUCGAGCCACACGACAUAAAAUUAUACGAAAACAAACUCAACCGAAAAAUCUACAAAAAGGGAACUCAUGGAGGAAGAUAGAGGUGAAUCGUUUACCAAAUCGGAAGUUCUGUGAGAUCCUCCGGAUGCCGGCAACGGUUCUCUUCGGCGAGCGAUUCUUCAGUGAGGUCACAGGUUUGAAGAGACUUUGAUGGAAUGGAAAAGUGGUUGCUCCAAGCUUCAAGACAGCAUGUUUUUGCGCCUAGGUCCAAAGGAGUGCUUAACCAGUCCAUUGAUUUUGGUCUUGGUCAUUAGAAUUAGGAACCUGUUUUUGCAGCAAAUUCUACUUAGUCAAAAAAUGUAAUUAUUUAGUUUAAUAAAAAUUUUUAAAGAUAAAAUGUAUUUGGAUUAUUUGGAACUUAUUGAAUUAAAUUUUAAUUAUGUAAUUA